CGUUUUCCAUCUUCUCCUCUCUCUUUGUCAUAAAGUUUUUUUAAUUUUGGGGAAGGAAGAUCUUGAAUUGAAGGCUUAGAGCUGGGGAUUGGAUUAAGGUGCAACUUAGGGUCAGAUUUCUCAACCGAGGUAAGGGAAAGGAGAAGUUGGACCAGGCAUGAGUUGGAGGACUUCGGUGGCAGCGUGUACAUAUGUAGUUUGCUUGACCGUCACGACUGGGGAUUCAAGGAGCAACUAGGGUCAAACCCUAAUUUUGACGCUUAGAAUAUAUAAGAUGGAGGGAACUAAAGAACACCAAGCUUCAGCUCAGUACAACUCCAUCAAAUCUCUCCAUAAGGUCUCAGCCAAGUGUACCACCUCUUCUUCAUCUUACUCUUUUGAAGAAACGACGACGUUUUCUGGUAAGUUCAAAUGCAAAAGAAUGAUUGAUGAAACUCAUAAGAACUGUAACAUUGAUAGGGUCAAACAGGCAGAGGAGUCCCUCCGUACGGUCAUGUACCUCAGCUGUUGGGGUCCUAAUUCUUAACUUAUUUAUAAUUACUUUAUAUUAAUAUUGGUGUCUUUCCUCUUAGCUAGCUUAAACUGGUAAGGUUUCCAUUCCAAGGAUAUAUAUUAACUCAAACCCAGU